AUGAGGCUUUUGAGUGAUCCUAUUAUUGCUGUUUCCUCUUGUCCCAUUUUUCUGACAGCAAAGAGACCCCUGACCUCGGCACUGUGCUAUGUUUCAGCUGCUGCCUUUGAUUUCCUGUACCAGGGAUGCAGCCAGCUCCACACCCAGCUUUGCUGGCAGAUGGAUUUCUGGGAGUGUGUGCGCCUGAGGUUUGAUCUCCUUUGUUUUGUGCCUCUGCAGAAAGAAAAACUGAACCAUGCUGUGAGAAAUUCCUCAAAGGAAAGGAGGGAAAGCAUUACCCAGCAGGACUCCAGCAGAUCACACAAACGGCACGUGAGGAGGAGUUUCCUUAAAGGGGCUGGGGACCAAGAGAAGUCUCAGAUGCAGAUCCCUGGCUGCCAAACUAAUCUCCCCAGGGUGGAUCAGGCACAUUUGUCCCCAUGUUGCAGCUGAUGGCUUCAGCACAGGAUAGCAAGUCCUUGAAAUCCCUCACAGCUGAUGCCUGUGGAUGGGAGAUGUACCCUCUGCUUUCCAUCACCUGAGCCAUCACUUAGACUAUCAGCAGCCCAUGCCCGCCCUGCUCACCAGUCCAGCAGGAGACUGAUGGAAAAGACCAUUUGGGUGUCCCUGCUAACAAUGAGAGGUGAUGGGGACUAAGGCUGUGGAUACUGGGAGGGCAGGGAUUGUGAGCUGCUGUGACCUGGGCCCCAGCUUUGCUGGGGCUGAGCAAGGCUGUGCAUGGUGCUGGAAUGUAAAAUCUUGUGCAGAGGGGGAAUGCAAAGGUGCAUGCUUGAUCUGGAGGUGCUGAAUCAGCCUUUUAGUGAGGAGACCCACUCUGGAGAGGAUCCAGGAGGAUCUCCAUGGAGAGCCCAGCUCAGCUGCAAGGUAAUGGAAGCCUAAACCAU
rnacentral:lncRNA from 1 species